GUGUGGAGCAGCGGGGAGCUGCGCUGCUCCUGGAGAGAUGCGGAGCCGGAGGCGGCGCGGGGCGGGUUCACGCCAGUGCUGCUGCUUCAGGCUGGGCAGGGCGGGAGGCAGGGGCUUGAGAGCACGGUAAAAGUGGAGAGCAGGGAAAGAGAGAGAGGCUUUUAACCCUUUCCAGCAGCGGCAGGGGGAGGCUUCUCGCUGUGCACCCCGAGGACGUGGGGCUCUGCUAGGACAGAGAUGCCUUUCAGCUUCCAGAAGUUUCCUCGGACGGGCGAACUGGCCCACCUGCCACGGCGAGAGCACGGGGAAGGAGCCCGAGAGGACGGCGUUGGCCCCGCAGCUCGCCGUGGUUCCUGCACGGGGCAGAGGGGCUGCCCUGUGCUGGGAGCUGCUCUCCGUGCCCUCCGAGCUGCCCUGCACCACCUCCAGCUCCCCGCGAUGCCGAGGAGGAGCACACAGCGCAGCGUGCCAGCCCCUGCUCAGGCAGCGCUCACACCAGGAGCCUCUCCCGUCCCGCGCUGUGGAGGAGUUCCUCUGCCUGACGGGGAGGGAGUGCCAACGAGCAAUUCCCCCGGCUGGCUGCUCUGGUGACUCCUUGGUCACAUUCACCCCGCCAUAACCUGUGUAACCACGAGCACCACGAGCUACGAUGCUGCCGCAGCUGAGAGACCUGAACUUCAGCACACGCCACCGCUAGCAAAGCGACACUCAGCCCUCUCCGAACCCGGCCGCGGCAGCUCCAGCCCAGCUUGUGCCAUUUGUGAGCCACACCGAGGGUCCAAAGGCUCCUCCCUGCCCUGGCCCUGCUGGGCGAGGGGAGCAGGAGGGGGCUCCAGGUGACGGUAGGACUGGCUGAAAACAGCAAACCUGCGUGGCUCGAAAACGGCCUUAAACCUAGCUGGGAAAAGGCAUUUUUUUUUCUGCUGCCUGCCCUGCAUCUCACCACGGUUUUGCCUCGGGCUGGGCUUUUCUAUGCUCAUCCCCCCCAGCCGGAUGAGUGCCUUCACUGGGAAGCGUUAGCCCUUGCUGGUGCAGGUGGGCCCCGAGCUCAGCUCCUGCUGGAGUAAAAGCUGCCAGUCCCUGCUGGAAAUCUGGGAACGGGGAGGUGAGGGAUGCCGGGCAAGGGGAGGGGGGGGAGAGAGGCGCAGCAAAACCCGGUAACAAAAACUUUCUGAAAUAAAAACCCUUUGAAAACACUCUCUGCCUCCA
rnacentral:lncRNA from 1 species